rnacentral:rRNA from 1 species
GAUGAACGCUGGCGGCGUGCCUAAUACAUGCAAGUCGAGCGAACAGAUAAGGAGCUUGCUCCUUUGACGUUAGCGGCGGACGGGUGAGUAACACGUGGGUAACCUACCUAUAAGACUGGAAUAACUCCGGGAAACCGGGGCUAAUGCCGGAUAACAUUUAGAACCGCAUGGUUCUAAAGUGAAAGAUGGUUUUGCUAUCACUUAUAGAUGGACCCGCGCCGUAUUAGCUAGUUGGUAAGGUAACGGCUUACCAAGGCAACGAUACGUAGCCGACCUGAGAGGGUGAUCGGCCACACUGGAACUGAGACACGGUCCAGACUCCUACGGGAGGCAGCAGUAGGGAAUCUUCCGCAAUGGGCGAAAGCCUGACGGAGCAACGCCGCGUGAGUGAUGAAGGUCUUCGGAUCGUAAAACUCUGUUAUUAGGGAAGAACAAAUGUGUAAGUAACUGUGCACAUCUUGACGGUACCUAAUCAGAAAGCCACGGCUAACUACGUG